ACGGAGGGUGCAAGCGUUGUUCGGAAUUAUUGGGCGUAAAGAGCGUGUAGGCGGUUAGGUAAGUCAGAUGUGAAAGCCCUUGGCUUAACCAAGGAAGUGCAUUUGAAACUACUUAGCUUGAGUACGGGAGGGGGAAGCGGAAUUCCCGGUGUAGAGGUGAAAUUCGUAGAUAUCGGGAGGAACACCGGUGGCGAAGGCGGCUUCCUGGACCGAUACUGACGCUGAGACGCGAAAGCGUGGGGAGCAAACAG
rnacentral:rRNA from 1 species